UGUCCUACGGGGGGCAGCAGUGAGGAAUAUUGGUCAAUGGCCGGAAGGCUGAACCAGCCAAGUCGCGUGAGGGAAUAAGGCCCUAUGGGUCGUAAACCUCUUUUGUCAGGGAGCAAUGCCGGGCACGCGUGCCCGGAGGGAGAGUACCCGCAGAAUAAGCAUCGGCUAACUCCGCGCCAGCAGCCGCGGUAAUACGGAGGAUGCGAGCGUUAUCCGGAUUUAUUGGGUUUAAAGGGUGCGUAGGCGGAUUUUUAAGUCAGCGGUAAAAUGUCCGGGCUCAACCCGGGCCGGCCGUUGAAACUGGG
rnacentral:rRNA from 1 species